rnacentral:tRNA from 1 species
GCCUGGGUGGCUCAGUCGGUUGAGUGUCUGACUUCGGCUCAGGUCAUGAUCUCACGGUUCGUGGGUUCGAGCCCCGCAACGGGCU